rnacentral:misc_RNA from 1 species
GGAAAAGCUGAGGAAUAGAGAUUUCUCCCAUUUGAUUGGCAAUCUAGACCUGGUGACCACCUUCAGACCACUUCAAUUUCCUUGUCCCUCUUAGCAACCAUAAAUGGUGAAAAACAACCUAAAUUUUAAUGAGAGACAAGUGAAGAGAGAAGCUUCCUUGCUGCGAGCUUCCGAAGGCAAUUCUGGCCGAUAUCAACGUCGAAUCACAAUAAAAUUAGUGGCAUCAGAGUCUUGGGAUCGGAAGCUUUCAAUAUCGAUCCACUGUCCUCGCAUACUAACUACCCAAAGAAGAUAGAUUGUUGCAAGGAAGUCGAUGGCUUUUGAGGCUAAUUUCAAAUAAAUGGAGUACCAUUUCAACGAUCCGCCACUCUGAUAAUAUUUUUCUUCCUCUUAGCUUCCUUUGGCUACGGCUGUAUUCGUUCUGGAUACUAGAUGAUAGUUACAUUCAAUGAAAGGUCGAAAUUCUCUUGGUUGAUUUUGAGUAAUCAAAGAGGAUUUUGGAAAAAUGACUUCACAUUUGU